rnacentral:lncRNA from 1 species
UGACCUCAGAGUGAAAGCCACCCUCCUGUGGCCUUUGUGGUUCCUACCACAUACCACGUGGACCCAUAGCUCAGUCCCUGCCCCUUCUUCCUUCCUCCCCACCUCUCCCAGAUCUGAAAUCAACACAGACCUCUGAGGGCACAAGCAAAAUGGACUAGUCAUGGCUGUGCUGCUCCUGUCUGAGGUUACGUAGCUGAGGAUACGAUCCUGCCUGAGGAUACGAUCCUGCCACGGGCAAAAGGAACCCACUGGGAGACUCCGGAAGUGGCCAUGCUUCCUCCCGACUGGCACCUGUGCAGGGGCUGGCCGCCACCCAUGGCACAGUGUCUCACAGAGGGCGGGGCUGGCCGAGGAGGCAGGAAAGAGCUGUUGUGCUGAUGAGGUGCCGUCGUGUCACACGGACAGGAGUGCCAGAAUUCAGAGGAAGCGCGGGCCUAGGCCGUGGCCAGAACAUCCAGCCUGGCUUUGUGAAUAUCCUGAUGCUUUGAGCUACCCUCAUUCCAACUGCCCGGCCAGGGAAAGGCUGAAGAGGACUGAGCAGUACUCCAAACACGGAAGAGACUAAGAGUGUUGGACUAGCUCGGAGGGCAGGUGGAUCCUGUACAGAGAAGAUCUCUUGGAUGAGUAGUCCUUUGAGCAGGAGGUUGUGAAGCUCCAAGGGGGCAGGGCACAGGAGUUCCCUUGGUUUACAGCAAAAGGAUGAGGACCAGAAGAUUCUGGAAGAAUAAGGAAGAGGAAAGGAAGGGUGGGGAAUCUGCUCCAGCUCCACCCUGCACUCUGGAUCCUCAAACCAUUGCUCUACUUUUCCUUACCUGCCUGUGGGUCUCCUAGACCUGGGAUCUCUGAUUCCAGGUAACAGACAAAGCCCCUGUCCCUUUGUCCUCCAUUCCCCACUUCCCAGCCCCUGCCUCCCCGCAGCUGUGAUAACCCACACGUAGCACUCUGCCCUCUGGAAUUUAUUUUAAGGUCUUGGCUUGUUUAUUUAUUUUAUUUAGAGAUUUCUCGGUGCUUUGUGGGGAGGAAAAUUCGAAUGGGGCGAUUAUGAAAUACUAUUUCACCUCGCUGUUCAUUCACAACAAACAAAGAGAAAUGAUUGGUG